GAUUGGUUGGCGGACGCGGCGGCUCGGCUGUUGCUGGGCGGCGCCUGGCCGCGGAGCGCCGACGUUGCUAAGUGACGGGGCGCGCAGGCGCCGCGAAGGCGCUCCUUCCGGAAAGAGGGGGCGGGUUCCGGCUGAGGGUGAGGGUGGAGGAGGGGGUCUUUUCGCGCCUUUCUUCAGAGCUGGGGUUUCUUUUCUUUGAAAUCCCGCCUUUUUGGAUGUUAGGGGAGAAAGCGCGGGCUCCGUAGCGAGGGUGGAGGUGCCCGGGAACGGGAGUGGCAUCAGCCGUCUCUCCGCUGGUGCCUUCCUUGCCCCAGGCCAGGGCGCUUUAGCCAUCACAGGACAGUGGAUUAAGCAUCUCUGCUACGCUGCCUGUCCCUCUGUGUGUUCACAGUACAUACUUGUUCAUAUCCUGAGCUGCAGCCUCCUGCCGUUCCCAGGAGAAGAAUCUAUAGAAAAACCUGUGCACAGAUGUCCAUGUAAAAAAACAGCUGUAUCCAUCAGGGCCACAAGUUGGAAACCGGCAAAGAAACUUGGCUAUAUUCAUCAACCAAAUAUCACAGCAGUAAAACAGCUGCAGCACAACAACAGGAGUUCUCCUCGUGACCGGAGGAUGUCAUCUCUAACAACAUUCUUGAUGUUUCUGAGUGUCAUUCGAGAACAGACAAAACAGGGCCUGGCGCAGUAGCCUAGCAGCUAAAAUCCUUGCCUUGCCUGUAUC